rnacentral:rRNA from 1 species
AGUGAACGCUGGCGGUAGGCCUAACACAUGCAAGUCGAACGGCAGCACAGGAGAGCUUGCUCUCUGGGUGGCGAGUGGCGGACGGGUGAGGAAUACAUCGGAAUCUACCUUUUCGUGGGGGAUAACGUAGGGAAACUUACGCUAAUACCGCAUACGACCUACGGGUGAAAGUGGGGGACCGCAAGGCCUCACGCGAUUAGAUGAGCCGAUGUCCGAUUAGCUAGUUGGCGGGGUAAUGGCCCACCAAGGCGACGAUCGGUAGCUGGUCUGAGAGGAUGAUCAGCCACACUGGAACUGAGACACGGUCCAGACUCCUACGGGAGGCAGCAGUGGGGAAUAUUGGACAAUGGGCGCAAGCCUGAUCCAGCCAUACCGCGUGGGUGAAGAAGGCCUUCGGGUUGUAAAGCCCUUUUGUUGGGAAAGAAAUCCUGUCGAUUAAUACUCGGUGGGGAUGACGGUACCCAAAGAAUAAGCACCGGCUAACUUCGUGCCAGCCGCCGCAGUAAGAC